CUGUUCCACUCGCUUUGUGAUUCCUCAAUAAUAUCAAGAGCUAACAUUUUCUUAAUUUCUGCAGCUACCGCCUCUUUCUGUGCUUCUGGGAUUCUGUAAGGUUUAAGGCUUUUCUUCACCCCUGGUUCUGUAACAAUAUCAUGCUUGAUAACGUUAGUCCUGCCCGGAACUACAGAAAAUACAUCCCGGUUUCUACCAAUAAAGUCCCU